AGAAUCAACGCUGGCGGCGUGCCUAACACAUGCAAGUCGCACGAGAAAGUGGAGCAAUCCACGAGUAAAGUGGCGCACGGGUGAGUAACACGUGAAUAAUCUACCUCCGAGUGGGGAAUAACUGAGAGAAAUCUUAGCUAAUACCGCAUAACACUUACGAGUCAAAGCAGCAAUGCGCUUGGAGAGGAGUUCGCGGCCGAUUAGUUAGUUGGCGGGGUAAUGGCCCACCAAGACGAUGAUCGGUA
rnacentral:rRNA from 1 species